UUCUAGCACAGCCACAAUGUUUCAUCUGUUU
rnacentral:piRNA from 1 species